rnacentral:rRNA from 1 species
GACGAACGCUGGCGGCGUGCCUAACACAUGCAAGUCGAACGGAAAGGCGCUGCGCUUGUGGGGUGCUCGUGUGGCGAACGGGUGAGUAACACGUGUGUAACCUGUCCUUGUCUUUGGGAUAACAUCAGGAAACUGGGGCGCAUACCGGAUAGGAUCUCCUGAUGCAUGGGGGGGGUUGGAAAGUGUCGGCGGUGGUGGAUCGACUCGCGGGUUAUGAGCUGGUUGGUGGGGUAGGUGCGUACCAAGGGUUUGACGGGUAGCCGGCAUGAGAGGGGGACCGGCCACAUUGGGCCUGAGAUACGGACCAGUCGCCUACGGGAGGCAGCAGUGGGGAAUCUUGCGGAGUGGGCGGACGUCUGAUGCAGCAACGCCGCGAGCGGGAUGACCGCCUUCGGGUUGUAAACAGAUUUCGCAUGUGCCGAAGAGUGAGUGACGGUACUGGGUCAAGAAGCACCGGCUAACUACGUG